UUGGAGGGCAAGUCUGGUGCCAGCAGCCACGGUAAUUCCAGCUCCAAUAGCGUAUAUUAAAGUUGUUGCAGUUAAAAAGCUCGUAGUUGAACUUCGGGGUCUACUCAUUGGUCAGGCUUAGGGUCUGCACUGGUGAGAUGGAUCUCUACCUUCUGAGGAACUUUCAUGCCAUUUAUUUGGUGUGGUUGGAAAUCAGGACUGUUACUUUGAAAAAAUUAGAGUGUUUAAAGCAGACUAUCGUCUGAAUACAUUAGCAUGGAAUAAUGAAAUAGGACGGACUGAUUCUAUUUCGUUGGUUUCUAGGAUCACCGUAAUGAUUAAUAGGGAUAGUUGGG
rnacentral:rRNA from 1 species